rnacentral:lncRNA from 1 species
UUUGAUACGCGAGGAUUCCACGGCCCAACCCCUCCGAGCCCCCUCCGAUACCCCUCUUUCCACGCGGUUUUCAGCCCUCGAGGGGGGACCCGAGGAUUCGGAGGAGAUGAUGCCACCGCCGCCUCCUCAAUGCACCGCCGCCCGACUCCUCCUCAAGACGUCGUCGCCCGCCACCUCUACGCUGGCGUAUCUCCUCCGGCAUACCCCCGGGUGUAAGUCCUCGCCUUGCCUCGCCUCUUCCCCUUUCCCCUUGUCAUCUAGGUUUUGUCCACCCCCAGCGAGCUCGCCAUGGUUGCCGCCUCGUCCUCCCCAACGAGCUCGCCAAGCACGCUGUCUCUGAGGGCACCUAGUCCGUCAGCAAGUUCACCUCCUCCUCCUCCUCCUCCUAGGCUACCAUUGGCUCUGCUUAUCUCUCCAAGUAGUGACAAUGGUAGUGCAAUCUCUCUACAAGUAGUGUCCAGACCCAUCUUAGUAUUCAACAGAUUUGAUAUUGAUUGACAUGCCCUUUGGCUGAAUUUUAUUAGAAGCCAAUACGGAUGUACUUGAGUAGAUUUAGAACCCACAGAUGUUGCAGUUCUUCAGUCUGGAGCAAACAAUUUCUUCAGAGAUCAUUGUCUUUUCCUAAGCAGAGUUGAUGUACUGAUGCUUUAUUCCGCUGUUCUUCGACCACUACUGUUGUUGCGUCCGCGCUCAUAAACACAACCAUGUAAUCUUGUGGAAAGGAGUAUUGUAUGCAUAUGGUCCGAAGAUAUAAUUGUCCAAAAUCCGGUGUUUGCUGCUGCAAUCCAAGUACAGUAUUUGUAAAUUAGUGAUGGUGAUGGUCUGAUGUUAUAAUUGUUGUGUGUAUGUUUUGUGACCAUGGACAACUCUAGUAUAUUGAUUGCCAGUUCAAGGUUAUACAUAAUUCUUUGGUUAGGAAACGAUGGACAAACUUGCACGUAUCACACCUUGCAUCAGAUUUACAGUGUGAGUCAAUCUCUUGUCAUUCCAUCUUCUCAAAUGACCGGCAAAAGUGUAGCCCAUCUCUAUAUCUGUUGUUCAGGGUUCAACAGGUGUAUGUUUGAUAGAUCUUGUAGAGCAUUAUCGUUUGGAAAUUUAGCCGGAAGCCAUAAAGCUAUGCUAAGUAACCAAUUUAUGCAUGUCCAGCCUUAAAAUCUAGUGUUAAAUAUUAUUCAGUAUAAUUUGUAUUGUUGUUUGGUUUAGAUUAGAUGUUUGGCAACUAUCUUUUUGAGUUAAAGCCACCUAUAAUCCUCCCACAAAUUUUUUUAACUGCCCCAAAUUUGAGCAGGAUAGGUGAGCUCUCAUGAUGCUCGAUUUUUUGAUCUGUUUAAUGAUGUUAUAUGGCAUAUGGCAAAUAACUAGUGGAAUAUAGUUUAUUUGCAGUGACAUUCGUUUUUGAUCUAUUUAAGUAUGGAACUUUUGAUCAGCUGUUAAGCAUUUGGUAAACUCUAUGACAUGAUGUACACAACCACAAAUCUUUAUGGCAAUUAGAUUGCAGUAUGGUAUUUGUUUCUUGUAUGAAUGAUUAUAUGUCAUCGUACAUGUAGAUGAUAUGUUCUUAUUUUGACUGGACAUGAGGGGGAGCAAGGUGGCUGGAGAUGGGAAAACGAUGAGGCUUUGUUUGGUAGAAGUGGAAUGGGGAGGUUUGGGGAGGGCUGGUGGUGGCUGUAGGUAGGUGACGUAUCCUUUCCGCAUCCUCAUGGCCAGCACCGUUAUAUUCCUAGAUAGAAACAAUACAUCCAGAUCCAAUAUUCUUCUUCUAAUUAUUAUUACAUCUGAAAAAAGCAUACCCCUAGAUAGAUAAAUGGAUGGAUGAAUUUGUGUGUCAUCUUUGAUUUUCUAAGUUGACUGACAUGAAUUCAGAAUUGAAGAGGAGGCCCGGGUAGAAUUAAUGUCAGAUGAGCCAAACUGAAUGUGCUUAUUUCCGAAUAAUGUUCAGUCAGAAAAAACUUGAACCAAAACUGAAUAACCUACGGUCAUAAGGAAAUUCUUUGUUUGGAAACUGAUUGUCUAUCUAGAAUGUUGCAGUUGUGGCACUACAUGAUCUUACUAAUGCUGUCUUUUCUACUCAAUGUGGCUGUAUUUUCUUGGUGGUAUCACGCAGAUUGGUUCUUAUUUAUGUCGUCUAUUUUUUUAUCUAGCUAGCUAGCUAACUUGCUCCAUUUCCAUUGAACUGAAUCUAUGUAAUAGACCUUGCUAACUUGUUCUCCCUCCAUACAUAAAAAAAAAACUUGUUCUCCCUCCAUGGACCUUGCAGCCUCUUCCACAUUCCACCACCAUCAGCCUCCUUAACCCCAACCGAAGAGCUGGCCUUUUCCCCAGUAAGAUGUAACUUUUGUUCAGAGUAAUGAUUUCAGUUCAGUCUGCAUAGUUCAGCUUCAUAGAGAAGAUAAUGAUUUCUGUUUUUUAGCCUACUGCAAUUGUUUAGAGUAAUGUGUGGACAAAAUUCAGGUUUUGUCCCACAUCACAUUGCAUUGUUUGGAGGUUUUGUACAUCAGCUUCCUUUUUGAUCUUCUUAUUUAAACUUGUUGCAGUACCUGUGACACAUGACGCCUAACUGCUUAACUAAUUUUCUGCUAAUUCAGCUCACACGGCGCUGUGGUACGCGGAUGUCGCUGCAGAGUAGAGAGAUACCCCUAGAAGUCGCCUUCCUGUCCACCUCUUCAGAAGUGCCACCGCCUUGGACACGACGACAUUAGAACCCAAUUCCUAUCAUAGAGAUAUGGGGUCAGGAAAACCCAACAGUUCAUUUAUUCCUGCUAGUUAAACUUGGGCUGUUAUAGAGAUAUGCAGGCCCAUCUAAUUACAUGUUACUCUCAAACUGUUUGAGCAAUAUGCAGUGAUGUUAGUCUGUAAUGCAUUGACAAUGGCCGCUACUUCAGGCGUUGCUAGCUGCAUUUCUCUACUGCCCUGUUGUUUUGUAGGUGACGCCCUUAGUUUUGCUACUUUGCAUAUUCUGGGAGCAAUUACAGUGAGGUUAUAUGUGAUUUUUGUUCACUUAAUAUCUACACUGCUCUUCCUUGCAUAAUUUGAUGUCGUUUUACUUGGAAAGAUUGCAUUUUUAUUUGUUUGCACUAUCUUAUCUAAAUAUGUCAAUUCCUGUCAGGG